AAAGCCGGGGGCGCCUGAAGUCCGUGACCGCAAGGGUCGGCCUAGGGUGAAACCGGUGAUUGGGGCUAAGUCGUAACAAGGUAGCCGUACCGGAAGGUGCGGCUGGAACACCUCCUUUCUGGAG
rnacentral:rRNA from 1 species